AACGAACGCUGGCGGCGUGCCUAACACAUGCAAGUCGUGCGAGAAAGUUCCUUCGGGAGCGAGUAAAGCGGCGCACGGGUGAGUAACACGUAGGUAACCUCGCCCCCCAGUCUGGAACAACUAGAGGAAACUCUAGCUAAUGCCGGAUGAGACCACGAUCCCGUUCGGGGGUGCGGCCAAAGAUGGCCUCUACUUGUAAGCUAUCGCUGAGGGAUGGGCCUGCGGGCCAUUAGCUUGUUGGUGAGGUAACGGCUCACCAAGGCUGUGAUGGCUAGCUGGUCUGAGAGGAUGACCAGCCACACUGGGACUGAGACACGGCCCAGACUCCUACGGGAGGCAGCAGUGGGGAAUAUUGCGCGAUGGGCGAAAGCCUGACGCAGCGACGCCGCGUGGGUGA
rnacentral:rRNA from 1 species